CAAAGGUGCCGACAUGAAGUGGACCUACAGGUUAUACUGUGGUCAAAGCAUCAGAUUUUGUAUUAAUUUUAAUUCUAGCUGCAUGGAUCACAAAUGAUUGGAAAAUUGAGAAAGUAUUGCUGGAAAUAAUUCAGACAUAAUUCAGACAUAAUUCAAGGCUCUCAUACAGAAAAAAAUAUAACAAAAUCAUUAAUUCGUGUUUUGGAAGAUUUUGAAAUUGCUGGCCAAAUUCUUGCUAUAUAUAAUUUCAGUCUUAUAGCAAUUGUGAUUUUAUGUUUCGUGAACUUAGCUUACUUAGCUCUCAGCGAUAAGUAGUCUGGAAUAAACUUUAUAGAGGCUAAUCAAAGAAUACGGUGUCUUGCUCACAUAACUAAUUUAGCUUGCCAAGAUGCUUUAUCAAUACUUAAAUUGACAGGUACGGUUAAAGGUAAUGACUAUGAUCAUGACUUUGAAACAUUUCAAACUAAUGAUGAUUUUGACGAUCUGGGCAAGACUACUCUCCAAUUAUGAAUGAUUCUACUUAUGAAAGGGCUUACGAAAGCAUUGUAAAACCUGAGAGGUCUCUUUGAAAGUAUGAUCUUGAUGAUUCAGAAUAGUCUCAAGUAGAAAAUAUAAUAGCAUUUCUUAAGUUUUUUGAUGAGACUCGUUUGUCGAAAGUGAAAAGUCCAUCAAUGUCUUUAUCAGCUGCGAUAUACAUAAAUUUGUAUAAUUAUUUGGAAUCGUAUAACGAAAAAGGAGGACGGAUAAUGGAAGCGGCAAAGUUAUAGCAUGUAAAAAACUUAAUAAAUACUAUCCUACGACCGAUGGCUUUGUAUACGUUUGGAGAUUAGUUUUAGAUCCGCGCUGUAAGUUGAACUGAUAUAGACAAGUUGGUUUUAAAGCCGACGUUAUUAAAGCCAAUAAAGACGUCAUAAUGCAGGAUUAGUAUUUAAUAUAUUCAGCAGCUACCGCGGUUAAUGAUUUAAGUAAUGGAGAAAAUUCAAGUGAAGAUUUGAUUGCAUCACAAAUAAAGAAAGCUAAAUAUGAAAAUAAGAACGACCUAUAUCUUGUCUUACUAUAUCUAUUGGUUUUAAGAAUUUUGUAGCACCGUUUGUAUUAUAACACUCUAUUAUGUAGUUUACAGUAACAUUGUUACAAACAUUGAAUGGAUUGUUUCACAUAACGUCGGCGGUACUUAAUUAAAAUCUUGCAAAAAAUAGGGUAUACUUUGGAAUCUGAUAACUCAGUUCCUAGACAACCUAGAACAAUUUUCUUUAUGAAUUUUCUUUCUAUUUUAAAGGGAAUGUUCUCAUUCAAAACUAAUGCAGUGACGUUUUUCGCCUCGUUGUUGCUUUGCCCAUGGAAGGCUGCAAUAUCAUAACAUUUUUAACUCCACACUCUCUACUUUUUUACGAAAAAAACAGUUUAAUGGGAUGGAAAAUUUCAUUUAGGUCAUUUUAAAGUAGAGGCCAUACCCCUGAAAACGCGCUAAGAAACAAUGUCCUGCGAUUUCUGGAAGCCGAGAUAUUGGUUUCUUAAAAUUAACAAAAUUUGCAGAUUUUAAAGUGCUCCCCUAAUUUUUUUUCGUAUUGCAUAUCUGAAAUGAUCUUGAAGAGAAGUUU